ACUCAAAUGAAUUGACGGGGGCCCGCACAAGCAGCGGAGCGUGUGGUUUAAUUCGAUGCAACGCGAAGAACCUUACCAGGGCUCGACAUCCUGAGUUCAGCGGGUGAAAGCCCGUGGCCGCAAGGCGAUCAGGACAGGUGCUGCAUGGCUGUCGUCAGCUCGUGCCGUGAGGUGUUGGGUUAAGUCCCGCAACGAGCGCAACCCCCGCCGCUAGUUGGUUGUCUAGCGGGACGGCCGGGACCAACCCGGAGGAAGGUGGGGACGACGUCAAGUCAGCACGGCCCUUACGUCCUGGGCUACACACACGCUACAAUGGCCGGUACAGCGGGCGUUGCCAAGCCGCGAGGCGGAGCGAAUCCCGACAAAGCCGGCCGUAGUGCAGAUCGGGGGCUGCAACCCGCCCCCGUGAAGUCGGAGUUGCUAGUAACCGCGGGUCAGCACACCGCGGUGAAUACGUUCCCGGGCCUUGUACACACCGCCCGU
rnacentral:rRNA from 1 species